rnacentral:rRNA from 1 species
UUGAAAGGGAAACGAUUGAAGUCAGUCAUACCAACGGGAAAUCAACCUUUUGAGCUUGGUCUCGUGGGUUUGAAGAGUUUCAAAGCCUUCGGAUUCGCGGGAUUGGGAUCUCUUGGUGUACUUUUUCGUACGGUUAGUCAACAUCGGUUUUGAAUGUCAUAAAAUGACUGGAGGAAUGUAGCUUCGAUCUCGUAUCGAAGUGUUAUAGCCUUUGGUAGAUGUGAUGUUUGAGACCGAGGAUUGCAACGGAUACCCCUUCAGGGCUAUUCGUCUGAUCUCUGAUACGUUGCCUUGAUGUUGAAAGCUUGCUUAUGAUGUUAGGGUAUUACGGUCAAAAGGUUAGAACGAAUUACAUUCGUUAAGGAUGUUGACGUA